rnacentral:rRNA from 1 species
UACGUAGGUGGCAAGCGUUGUCCGGAUUUAUUGGGUUUAAAGGGUGCGUAGGCGGCUUUGUAAGUCAGUGGUGAAAUAUGGCAGCUUAACUGUCAGGGUGCCAUUGAUACUGCAGAGCUUGAGUACAGAUGAGGUAGGCGGAAUUGACGGUGUAGCGGUGAAAUGCUUAGAUAUCGUCAAGAACACCUAUAGCGAAGGCAGCUUACUAGGCCGUAACUGACGCUGAGGCACGAAAGUGUGGGGAUCAAACAGG